GCUUACGGCCAUAUCAGCCUGGGUAUGCCCGAUCUCGUCUGAUCUCGGAAGCUAAGCAGGGUCGGGCCUGGUUAGUACUUGGAUGGGAGACCGCCUGGGAAUACCAGGUGCUGUAAGCA
rnacentral:rRNA from 1 species